UGAGUUACCAUUUUGCCACACUUAUGGAGUUUAGUCCUUUUUUCCUUGCUUUGGAAACUACUUUCUCUCAUUCUUGGUACUGGGAUACUCAACAACAUGGACUUCUAGGAGAAAGACCUGAAUGUAGCUUCACCUCUCUCCUUUCCAAUACGGAGAUCACACUGCAACCUCUGCCAGAUACUGCAGCAUAUUCCACAGCUGGUACUUUCAAGCCUGAGGAUACAGCGUGAAGGUACAUCAUAUGUGGGAUGAAGACCAGGCAUGUCAAGAAAUCCUGUUCGGCUUUUCUUUUAGUCACUGAAUUCUAUUCUGCUAUCACAGAUCACACUGCAACCUCUGCCAGAUACUGCAGCAUAUUCCACAGCUGGUACUUCCAAGCCUGAGGAUACAGCGUGAAGGUACAUCAUAUGUGGGAUGAAGACCAGGCAUGUCAAGAAAUCCUGUUCGGCUUUUCUUUUAGUCACUGAAUUCUAUUCUGCUAUCAGCUCUGGGCAUUUUUGUGAUGUUUACCAGCUCAGUUACUUUUGUCAUUCCUUUAAAUGUGCUUACACUUUGUUUGACUUUGUGAGAAGUGUUAUAGUUUUACAUAUAGAGGAGUAAGCAUAACCAAUAAUAUCUAAAUUAUUUGCUUGUUUUACCCCAAAGAAACUGUCUCUAGAUGAAAUAUAAUUCUAAGUAUUCUAAUUCUGCUGAGUGCUCUGCUGCACUGGUUGCAAAAGUCGAAUGGUAUAAUCUUCAGUACUAAUCAGAAGCUCUGGGCAAGGAAUGAACAUUUUAUGCCUCAUCAAUCUGUGUCUGCCAAAGACCUUGCAAAAAAAAGGGAGUUUUGAUUGGUUAAUGUAUGCACAUCUUGAGAAUUUUAGCCCUCUGAAUGUAAGAAAUUCUACUGCCUGAACAGGUGAGUAAAAUGCUAGCUAGCACACUAGGAGAAAUCCAAAGCUGAACAAUCUACAGUUUCUUGGUAAACCUCUACAGCUUUUCUUUUUACACAGGCCAUGUGAAACAUCAGUAUCAAAAAUAGCUCUAAAACACCCCUAUGCUAGUAUGUCAUUGUGUCUGGCUAGAUCCCAUCUAAAAAAUGUCUGGGGUAUAUAAGAGGACUUUUGUCAUUGUUAAUAGUGAAGGUUAAAUGUCUCCUUAAAGCCUAUGGAUCCAUGGAGCUAACCUGUUAUACCACUUUCAGCAGCCAGUGCCACACAUCGGUAGAUGCCAAUACUUUGGGGCUGUAUU
rnacentral:lncRNA from 1 species